GCAACCAAAGAGGAAGAAGGUUCUGGUGGACUACCUGCUACGGUUUGCUUCAGCUCGUGCGGUUAGGAGGUGGAUGCCCGCACGGAUCCGGUGUCUCCGACCUUGGCAUCCACAAGGAGGAGCGGCGACAAUUACAUACCCAACCAUGGGGCAGCAGCAAUUCAUGGUUGAGCCUCCCUCUACCUCUCUCAUGUUCCCUGAUUUUGCUGCUGCUCUAAAUUCACUUUCACUUGACUGAAUCUAGUGCUACUGCUGUCAGUCCCUAGUCCGUAGUGCUACUGCUCUAAAUUCACUUGCAUGUUUGACUAAAUUCACUUGGUAUUGCACUGCUUGCCAAAUUGAGUUGCUUUCUCGCUGCCAGAAAAAGUCAGUACUCCCUAGUGUUGAAGCAAUAUUUACAUGCUUGCAAAUAUUGGUCUGAAUCUACGAUGCUCCCUAAAUUUGACUAAAUCUCAUGGAGUAGAUUUCAUUUUACCAAUUGGUCUGAAUCUAUUUAUACGCUUUACUGAAUUUUGCUUGGUGCUGUCGCCGUCGGACUCUCAUGCUGAAUCAGUUGGACAAUGCAUUCUUUGCCAGUUCAUUUUACCAAUUCAUGCUGAAUUGUUGUUUAGUUGUAAUUCCUUUUAGUGUGCCAUGCACAAGUGAUAUUCAUGUCCAGCCAAAUGAUAUCUUGUGCUUUCCAAAGUGAUAUGUACCCAACUGCUUAUAUACGUAUUAUGUUCUUAACUGUAGAUUUCCUCUCACAGUAGCUCCAUGCAAAAGAAGGUUGAAAGGAGAAGGAGAGUUUGUGACUGCUAUGGAAGGACUGAAGGAGGUCCAUGUUGAAGAAGGUCGACAGAAGCAGUAGAGCUUGUAAUACUGUCAUUGCCAUUGUAUUUGUGUUGUAUGAUGUAUCCGCGUUUACCCACAAAAAAAUGUAUUCACGUUGUAAUACUGUGAUUGCCAUUCUGGCUAAUAUUUCAAGCAGUGUAUUUUGC
rnacentral:lncRNA from 1 species